rnacentral:tRNA from 2 species
GCCUGGCUAGCUCAAUCGGUAGAGCGUGAGACUCUUAUUCUAAGGUAUCUCAAGGCUGUGGGUUCAAGCCCCACGUCGGGCU